AGCGAACGCUGGCGGCAGGCCUAACACAUGCAAGUCGAACGAACUCUUCGGAGUUAGUGGCGGACGGGAGCGUAACACGUGGGAACGUGCCUUUUGGUUCGGAAUAACUCAGGGAAACUUGUGCUAAUACCGAAUGUGCCCUCCGGGGGAAAGAAUUAUCGCCAUUAGAGCGGCCCGCUUCUCAUUAGCUAGUUGGUGAGGUAACGGCUCACCAAGGCGACGAUCAGUAGCUGGUCUGAGAGGAUGACCAGCCACACUGGGACAGAGACACGGCCCAGACUCCUACGGGAGGAAGCAGGGGGGAAUCUUGAGCGAUGGGCGAAAGCCUGACGCAGCCAUGCCGCGUGAAUGAUGAAGGUCUUAGGAUAGUAAAAUUCUUUCACCGGGGACGAUAAUGACGGUACCCGGAGAAGAAGCCCCGGCUAACUUCGUG
rnacentral:rRNA from 1 species